CUUCAACCAUCUGACCUCAGAACAGAGGCAAUGUAAGGGCGGACCCUGAACAGGCCCGGGAGGCAACACUCCAAACCAGCAACUGGCACCGAGCAGGCCCUCCUAUGCCUUCAAGCCUUUCUCUUCAUCGGCAGCCACAGGUGAAGAUGGAGAGGGAUGCCAGGAAGAAGCCACUUUGGAGACAACCAGAGCUUGUUAGUACCUAAAGGCAAUUAACGAGGAAAAGUGGCAUACCAACAAAGGCGCUAGACUCCCACAUGGCAGACUGCAGUUCAAGUCCUGGACCCUGCAGCUUGAAACUGACAUCAGGUGUAUGAAAUCAUACUGUGCCAAGAGAAAAGGAACUCAAACCCUCAGAGGUUCAAACUGGGUUCAAAGCUCCUGCUUCCCAAGAGACCCGAGCAACUAGAAGAGUGUUCCACUGUCCACUUACUCCCCUGCGCCCCAGUGGGAGACAGAGAUCCUUAAAAUCAGCCAAA